rnacentral:lncRNA from 1 species
CAUGAUAACCAUCUUAUGGGAAAUAUCUAAACCAGUAAAUAAUAUUUUUCUAACACUUUCUGUAAGAUAUCAAAUGCUAAUCACUACUGUGUCAUAAUUGUAAAUGAAAUUAUAAUAUAAAUUUACUGAGUUUUUCUGAGUACCUAAUGAGUUAAAAAAUAUGGGAGCAUAUGUAGUACUGUGCUUGUAUCAAUAUGGAUAAGGUAUCUGGAAGUCUUUUCUGAACAUCUUUCGGUGCUGCUGAGAUUAUUCCACUGAUGGGGAUGGUCCAUGGCUGCUAUGUGACCAUCUGCACUGCAUGAAAAUCAUGACUCAAUAUAGGUGUGGCCAUCUUGCUGGAAUGGCAUGCACUGGAAGAUUUAUCCAGGCACAGUUUAGAUCCUCUCCCCAGUCUGACUUCCUUUCUAUAAUUCCAAUGUCACAAUAUGAAUAGCCCAUUCAUAUGUGACUUAAACACUUUGUUGAAGCUCCUCUGCAUAGGUAGUAUGAUACACUUGGUCUCUUUGUUGCUGCCAAUGAUGGGUUCAACUGCCUGUUAAACAUCAUCUUCUUGAUGGUUUCUUAAGUGGCCAUCCUAUAUACUUUGAAAUCCCACAGCUUGGAGGAAAGAUACAAAGCUCUCUCUACCUGUGUCUCUCACACCACCGUGGCCAUCUAAUUCUUUGUGUUCUGUAUACUUGUGUAUCUGUGCCCAGUGACCCUUCCCCAGUCAGUAAAGCAGUGGCUGUGCUUUACACCAUGAUAACGCCUACAUUAAACCCUUUAGUCUAACCCUCAGAAAUGCAGAGGUGAAAAGUGUUGAGAAACUUCUGGGUCAAAAGAUGACUUGAAGAGAGAA